ACGGCUCAGUAACACGUCGGUAACCUACCCUCGGGAGGGGGAUAACCCCGGGAAACUGGGGCUAAUUCCCCAUAGGCCUGAGGUACUGGAAGGUCCUCAGGCCGAAAGGGACUUAUGUCCGCCCGAGGAUGGGCCGGCGGCCGAUUAGGUAGUUGGUGGGGUAAUGGCCCACCAAGCCGAAGAUCGGUACGGGCUGUGAGAGCAGGAGCCCGGAGAUGGACACUGAGACACGGGUCCAGGCCCUACGGGGCGCAGCAGGCGCGAAACCUCCGCAAUGCGGGAAACCGCGACGGGGGGACCCCGAGUGCCGUGGCAACGCCACGGCUUUUCCGGAGUGUAAAAAGCUCCGGGAAUAAGGGCUGGGCAAGGCCGGUGGCAGCCGCCGCGGUAAUACCGGCGGCCCGAGUGGUGGCCGCUAUUAUUGGGCCUAAAGCGUCCGUAGCCGGGCCCGUAAGUCCCUGGCGAAAUCCCACGGCUCGACCGUGGGGCUUGCUGGGGAUACUGCGGGUCUUGGGACCGGGAGAGGCGGGGGGUACCCCUGGGGUAGGGGUGAAAUCCUAUAAUCCCAGGGGGACCGCCAGUGGCGAAGGCGCCCCGCUGGAACGGGUCCGACGGUGAGGGACGAAGGCCAGGGGAGCAAACCGGAUUAGAUACCCGGGUAGUCCUGGCUGUAAAGGAUGCGGGCUAGGUGUCGGGUGAGCCUCGAGCUCGCCCGGUGCCGUAGGGAAGCCGUUAAGCCCGCCGCCUGGGGAGUACGGCCGCAAGGCUGAAACUUAAAGGAAUUGGCGGGGGAG
rnacentral:rRNA from 1 species